rnacentral:rRNA from 1 species
UACGUAGGGGGCAAGCGUUACUCGGAAUUACUGGGCGUAAAGCGCGCGUAGGUGGUCAAGUAAGCGUACUGUGAAAGCCCCGGGCUCAACCUGGGAACUGCAGGACGAACUGCUUGACUAGAGUAUAGUAGAGGAGUGUGGAAUUCCCGGUGUAGCGGUGAAAUGCGUAGAUAUCGGAAGGAACACCAGUGGCGAAGGCGACUACCUGGACUGAUACUGACACUGAGGUGCGAAAGCGUGGGGAGCAAACAGG